rnacentral:rRNA from 1 species
AACGAACGCUGGCGGCAGGCUUAACACAUGCAAGUCGAACGCACCGCAAGGUGAGUGGCAGACGGGUGAGUAACACGUGGGGAUCUGCCCAAUGGUACGGAAUAGCUCCGGGAAACUGGAAUUAAUACCGUAUGAGCCCGCAAGGGGAAAGAUUUAUCGCCAUUGGAUGAACCCGCGUCGGAUUAGCUAGUUGGUGUGGUAAAGGCGCACCAAGGCGACGAUCCGCAGCUGGUCUGAGAGGAUGAUCAGCCACACUGGGACUGAGACACGGCCCAGACUCCUACGGGAGGCAGCAGUGGGGAAUAUUGGACAAUGGGCGCAAGCCUGAUCCAGCCAUGCCGCGUGAGUGAUGAAGGCCUUAGGGUUGUAAAAUCCUUUCACCGGUGAAGAUAAUGACUGUAGCCGGAGAAGAAGCCCCGGCUAACUUCGUGCCAGCCGCCGCCGUAAAAC